AUAUCAAUAAGCGGAGGAAAAGAAACUAACAAGGAUUCCCCUAGUAACUGCGAGUGAAGCGGGAAGAGCUCAAAUUUAAAAUCGGGCGGCCGGGAGGCCUUCCCGAGUUGUAGUCUGGAGAAGCGCUUUCGGCGCCGGACCGUGUACAAGUCCCCUGGAACGGGGCGUCGUAGAGGGUGAGAAUCCCGUCUCUGACACGGACGCCCGGUGCCCUGUGAUGCGCUCUCGAAGAGUCGAGUUGUUUGGGAAUGCAGCUCAAAAUGGGUGGUAAAUUCCAUCUAAAGCUAAAUAUUGGCGAGAGACCGAUAGCGAACAAGUACCGUGAGGGAAAGAUGAAAAGCACUUUGAAAAGAGAGUUAAACAGUACGUGAAAUUGCUGAAAGGGAAACGCUUGAAGCCAGUCGCGUCGUCCGGGACUCAGCCUCGCCAGGCGCACUUCCCGGUCGACGGGCCAGCAUCGAUUUUGACCGUCGGAGGAGGGCGGGAGGAACGUGGCACCCUCGGGUGUGUUAUAGCCUCCCGUCGGACGCGACGGUCGGGAUCGAGGAACUCGGCACGCCUUCACGGUCGGGGCUUCGGCCCACGCAUCGUGCCCAGGAUGCUGGCGUAAUGGCUUUAAACGACCCGUCUUGAAACACGGACCAAGGAGUCCAACGUGCCUG
rnacentral:rRNA from 1 species